AGCGGCAGACGGGUGAGUAACAUGUGGGAAUCUGCCUUUUGGUUCGGAACAACACGGGGAAACCUGUGCUAAUACCGGAUAAGUCCUAACGGAGAAAGUUUUAAUGCCAAAAGAUGAGCCUAGGUCGGAUUAGCUAGUUGGUGGGGUAAAAGCUUACCAAGGCGACAAUCAAUAGCUGAUUUGAGAGGAUGAUCAGCCACACUGGGACUGAGAUACGGCCCAGACUCC
rnacentral:rRNA from 1 species